GCCCACGUAAUAUACCCCUAUAAACAUUAAAUAAUAAAAACAAAUAAAUAGCACUAUUAAUAAGUACAGAAAUGGAAAAAUAAAUAAAUAAAAGUAAAUUUUAAUAUAUGUACCUUGUGCAUUAUGGUUUUACAAGAAAAUAAUUAAAUACCUAAAUCCCGAAUUCUAAAUGAGAUGUUGAACUGCUGUUAUGAACCCACUAAUAGCUGUGGCAAAAGCUUUAAAAGACAGUUUAACAGAGGCUACAUACCAUCCGCAUAAGAACAUAGCUGGUUUUCAACAAACAUUAUAUAUUAAAACAUAUAAUUAUAUUAUAAUGUAAAAUUACUGAGGACAAGCCCAAUAAUAUCAGCAAUACCCUAAUAAAUCGUUUCCCUAUAUUUAGGCCUAAAAUCAGCCAACCAAAAUACUUUACCGUAAUAAAUAUUGAUAAAAUUCAUAUAAAUCUACAUGCUAAAUGAAGUUGAAAUAAUGGAUAAACUCUGCUAGCUCCACCUAUAUUAUGUAAAAAUAAGUAUUAUAUAAAAAUAAAUAUCAACUACCAAGUUAUAAAUAAAAACUAAGUAACAAUAAUUAAUUAAGGAACUCGGCAAAUUACUAUUUCGACUGUUUAACAAAAACAUUGUCUCAUGCAUAAAAAUAUGAGAUAAUACCUGCCCAGUGACAUAGUUCAACGGCCGCGGUAUCCUAACCGUGCAAAGGUAGCAUAAUCACUUGCCUAUUAAUUGUAGGCUAGAAUGAAAGGGUUAACGAAAUAAAAACUGUCUCAAUUAAUUACCUAAAAAUUAUUAUUUACCUGAAGAAAAGUAAAUAAUCUCGAAGGACAAGAAGACCCUAUAGAGCUUAAUUUCAAUUAUAGAUCUAACUAUAAAAAUAUUCGGUUGGGGCGACCCAGGGCUAACAAUCACCCAGCAUAUAAGAGAUAAAUAAAUCAAACAAUCUGACCCUUAAAAGAUCAAAAAACCAAGCUACCUUAGGGAUAACAGGCUAAUCCCACUUAAGAGUCCUUAUCAACAGUGGGGGUUGGCACCUCGAUGUUGGCUUAGGGUAUCUAUAUAGCGCAAAAGUUAUAUAAAGAUGGUUUGUUCAACCAACAAUUCCCUACAUGAGCUGAGUUCAGACCGGCGUAAGCCAGGUUAGCUUCUAUCCUCGACCACACACUCUACUCCUAGUACGAAAGGACCUGAGCAGAGUAAUAAAUUACAUAAAAGAACUCAUAUAAUUGCAUAUAAACAAUACUAUAAUAUAUACUAUA
rnacentral:rRNA from 1 species